CUGAGACAUUGACAGUAGCCAUUGUGAUGUAGUACAGGUAUGCUGACACAGACGCUGACAGAUGCCAUUGGAGUUCUUCCCCUGGGCUAUUAGCUCAGGGGUCUGCCGACACCCACUGGAGCACAGAUUUAAUCCAACUCAGUCAUGGCAGGCAGCCCAUCCUAGGGACUGGUCCCACCCAACAGCAAGCCCUCAGGCUACUUGUUGGCCUGCAUAGACUGGGUGCCUCAAUCCUCUGCAAGCAGAAAAUGACACUGUUGGGAAGCCUCUGGGACUCCUCACUAAACAUGAAUAUUCAGCACCAAGAACAGAAGCUUGAGCACAUCGAAUUAAACAUAACCUUAAGAAGAGCUUAUCAUUUAGAACCCCAGCGAAGAACCUAAGAUGGAUAGAGGGAAAGUUUUUCCUCCUCUACAAACACAACGUCUGAGCAAUCAUUCCCUGAAGUCCAAGUUACACUGACUCAAGGCUCUCAAAAUCUUCUAGCAGAAAGAACCACCUUGCUUUAAAUGCACCAUACCGUAAUGGCCAACCAGAGUCCCAGAGAGCAGAACGUCUAGAAGAUGGAAAUUGCCUUGAAAAUGGAGAAAGUGCUUAGGAAUAUCUUUUAGAUGUUCAGUAAGUUACGGAGUCAAUUCAAAGAUUUAAAUGACUAAAAAGUCACUCUUCUUACCAUCCUCUACUAGAAAAAUAAUGCAAUUUGAUAAUGCCUGCAUUUUUUAAAAUUAUGACUCAAAUAUUAAUAGAAGGAUCAGAGCACAUAGGCUUGUUGAUAAAGUUAAAAGAAUUUUCAUCCUUCAAGAAAAUUU
rnacentral:lncRNA from 1 species